rnacentral:rRNA from 1 species
CGGCGGACGGGUGAGUAACGCGUGGGUAACCUGCCUCAUACAGGGGGAUAACAGUUAGAAAUGACUGCUAAUACCGCAUAAGCGCACGGGACUGCAUGGUCCAGUGUGAAAAACCGAGGUGGUAUGAGAUGGACCCGCGUCUGAUUAGCUGGUUGGCGGGGUAACGGCCCACCAAGGCGACGAUCAGUAGCCGACCUGAGAGGGUGGCCGGCCACAUUGGGACUGAGACACGGCCCAAACUCCUACGGGAGGCAGCAG